rnacentral:rRNA from 1 species
GGGCCCGCACAAGCGGUGGAGCAUGUGGUUUAAUUCGAUGAUACGCGAGGAACCUUACCAGGGCUUAAAUGUAAGUUGCAUGAUUCAGAAAUGAAUCUUUCUUCGGACUACUUACAAGGUGCUGCAUGGUUGUCGUCAGCUCGUGCCGUGAGGUGUCAGGUUAAGUCCUAUAACGAGCGCAACCCCUGUUGUUAGUUGCCAUCGAGUAAUGUCGGGAACUCUAACAAGACUGCCGGUGCAAACCGUGAGGAAGGUGGGGAUGACGUCAAAUCAUCACGGCCCUUACGUCCUGGGCUACACACGUGCUACAAUGGCCGGUACAGAGAGCAGCCACUACGCGAGUAGGAGCGAAUCUAUAAAACCGGUCUCAGUUCGGAUCGGAGUCUGCAACUCGACUCCGUGAAGCUGGAAUC